GAAUGUAAAUGGGAAAGAAAAGAGAUGGAAUCCACCCUGGCAAAGUUGGGUAACUCAAGCAACAUUGAUUACGAUUGCCAUCACCAAUGAUGCGAUCAUAUUGAACCCAAUUGCACGCAGUCCUGAAAUUAAUUUCAGAUCAGAUUUAAUCAAUUCA